AUGGCUCGACCCGAUUGCAUUAAUAUCCCCAAUGGUAAGUUCUACCUAGAAGAUGUUGGAUAUGCAUGUCGACAUGGUGUUCUUCCACCCUUCAAGAAAACAAGGUAUCAACUUCCCCCUUUUUCGGUAUUGAUGAACUUUCCCCCAUUGAGCCAUAUAACUGUUCAUUUAUAA
rnacentral:rRNA from 1 species